CAAGCUCACUGCACACACAUGCUCACCACAGACAGGCUCAGACACACCCAUGCUCCCUACAGACAAGCUCACUAACACACAUACAAGCUCACUCACUAGCAGGCACACACACAAACACAAACUCACUAGCAGGCGCACACACACACAGAAGCUCACUCACUCACUAGCAGAUGCACACACACAAAGACAUCCACACAUACAGAGACAGGAAGACAGCCACACACACAGAGACAGGAAGACAGCCACACACAGACAGUCACACACACAGGCAGACAGUCUCACACACACACAGGCAGGCAUUCACAC